UCAAUAAGUGAAAAGUAGUGUGAGGAAAAGCUUAGAAACUUUUCCCUAAUAAAAUAACUGAAGGGGAGAAGCAUAUUUUAAUGUUAAGAAUAGGUUUGUAGAGGCAUAAAGUGCCAUUAGCCUAUUGAAUGUAAGUAUCUGGGCUAUUAAGUUUAUACUGAAAUAUUUUCUAUGUAUGUAAUAUUUCAACAAACACAUAUUGUAUUAAUUAAUGGUCAAAUACUAAAUUGAGAUUUUAUAAAAAAAUUUAAUAAGCUGUAAAGCUUGUCAAUUUGUUUACUUUAUUACAACUACAAUUUUCAGCCCUUUUCCAGAAUUUGAACUAAUUUGAUCAUAAAGAUUGAUCUAUUUAUAAUUUAUCGAUUACAAUUUUUAGACAAUUAAAGGCAGCUGGUUAAAGGAACUUUUAUUUUGGAAAAAGAACUGCUGCUGUUUCAAGACAUGCGCACUAGCUGCGACAUCUAGUGACGACAUUUACCGGGCUUUAACGGUUGUUGCUGCAUGAAGUCUGCUGCAAUUUCUCUGAGAUUUCUCAAGAUCAUCAGUUUGGACAGAAUUCAUUUGAAGAAUUAAUAGCACUAGCAGGUUCCAAUAAAGGCUGGAACAGAACAGACAGAAAAGAAUCUGUUCAGAAAAAGUACUGUUCGUGCACCAGAUGGUGAAGUAGAAAAGUUCAUAAAAACUUCUGCAGCUUGCAUCUGACAGAGAUGCAAAAAGAAGAAGAGAGCGGGCCUGAAAACAAGCAAAUUCAAGGGUACACUUGAGGAGUGUCCAGAUGUUUAUUAAUGUUUUAUUAAUGUAAUGUUAUGUUUCAAAUAAACAUGUAAACAUACUGUAUAUUUUUCUUUUUUUUUAAACACCUACAGUAAAGUGUGACACUUAACACAUUAAAAGCAUCACAAACAUUGAGGAUAGAACUUCUAAUGUGCAGUUUAACUUUUUUUAACUAAAUAUAAUAAAAGUUUUUUUUAAGAAGGGAUAAGUACAUGACAUCUUAAGGGCUAAGGUUAUAAAAUAAAAAACACUUUAAAAAAUAAUUCGGGCUAGUUUCGGCUGAGUGUACAGUUUAAGCUGGCAUGAUUCUGGCACUGUGCUGGCAGUGUCGGCUGACUUUAAGCACCCGGACAUGGGCCAGUUUCGGCUGAGUGUAAUGUUUUAGCUGGCGUGAUUCUGGCACUGUGCUGGCAGUGCCGGCUCACUUAAGGCACCCGGAAAUGGGCCAGUGUACUUGGGCCGAUUCUGGGGCGUCAUUCAUCCCAGAGUUGGCCCUUUUCUGGCAGCCGGAACUGGGCCGUGGUUUUUUUUCUGGCCUGCCGGAUUUGGGCCAUUAUUGGGCCAAACUGUUUUGGCUACCUGGGCGAUAGUCGACGUGACCCUCAUGUUUCCAUGGCAAUGAGUCAAUUACAUGUUACGCUUAUGAUCGCACCUGCGGUCAUUCGCGCAGUAUCCAUGAUUUUAAGUGGCAUAAAACACUUAAGUUAACUCCUUUGUACGAAAAUAUCAUGUCGUGUAAGUUGGCAUGUUCUAUUCGAAUUGAAAUACAUUGUAACGGUGUAAUUUUGCUUACUUGUUAAAUAGUUAGCAAGUUUUAAUGGAAAUAGAAAAUAUUGGUUAUCUAGACAAAUGUGCUCUUGUUUUUAGUAUAUUUUUAUAACUUUUUGUAAUGUCUUCGUUAUCAGAGCCCUUCAAAUUAGAAUAGUGAUGAUGAUCUUGUCAAUGCUGAGAUUUUCAUGCAUCAGCAGCCACUACAUCUGGAUCAGAUUGAACAAGAAACAGACAGCAAGGGUUGUCAGAUCAGAAACAGAAUGACACACAAACACAAGAAACUUCACAGGCAGAUCAACAUGCAAUUUGAAGACGUGUGAUAAAAUACAGAGAGGUGAAGUAGUGUGUCUUUCCAGAUCCCCAAAUCAUUCCCCCUUAAAAGGCCUGAAGAGGAGAUUUGGGAAGAUCCUGUUUCAUAAGUCGCUUUGCCAGAUCACCUGUGGUCGGGAUGUCUGCUAACAAGAUGCCUUGCUGGUCUGAGCGAGUUUAAAGGCUUACACAGACAGUCCAGAAGUUCUGAAGUCCAUCUUCGAUUUCAUUGGACGCUUUAAGGUGUAGAAACAUCUCAGCAACCUCAAGAGAAAUUGGAGGCAACUGAGCGUAAUUGCAGAUGUUGUUUCAAAGGGUCUGAAUAUGUAUAAUAUGCUGUCAUCGUAUUAAGUACAGCAUGAGCCAGAAUAGAUGGGUGGUGGUGGCCAUAAGAAGACUGUCAACUAAACCAACAACAAAAUUCAUAUUUGCAGUUUUUCUUGAAUAAAGUUUUUCUAUUCAGAUUAAUAAAAUGACUUUUAAACAUGAUUUUGUUUCAUAUUUUAUGAUUUUAUUCUAUAUUUAGAAAAUUCCACUUCUGCACUACUAACUGGAAACCUAACUGUUUGAAAGAAUGUGUUUUUAUCCAUAAAAAAAAUAUUUGUAACAGCUGCUUUCAUGUUUAUUUGGAAAGGGUAGGCACCUGCC